rnacentral:rRNA from 1 species
AUUGAACGCUGGCGGAAUGCUUUACACAUGCAAGUCGAACGGCAGCGCGGGGGCAACCCUGGUGGCGAGUGGCGAACGGGUGAGUAAUACAUCGGAACGUGCCCAGUCGUGGGGGAUAACGUAGCGAAAGUUACGCUAAUACCGCAUACGAUCUACGGAUGAAAGCGGGGGACCGUAAGGCCUCGCGCGAUUGGAGCGGCCGAUGUCAGAUUAGGUAGUUGGUGAGGUAAAGGCUCACCAAGCCGACGAUCUGUGGCUGGUCGGAGAGGACGAGCAGCCACACUGGGACUGAGACACGGCCCAGACUCCGACGGGAGGCAGCAGUGGGGAAUUUUGGACAAUGGGCGCAAGCCUGAUACAGCCAUUCCGCGUGCAGGACGAAGGCCUUCGGGUUGUAAACUGCUUUUGUACGGAACGAAAAGGCUCUGGUUAAUACCUGGGGCUCAUGACGGUACCGUAAGAAUAAGCACCGGCUAACUACGUGCCAGCCGCCGCAGUAA